ensembl:lncRNA
AUGUGUCCUUGGUGUCCCCACUGUCCCCUGUGUCCCUGUGUGUCCCCAUGUGUCCCCACUGUGCUGUGUGUCCCUGCUGUCCCCCAUGUCCCCGCUGUCCCCGUGUGUCCCUGCUGUCCCCCGUGUCCCCAUGUGUCCCUGCUGUCCCGUGUGUCCCGGUGUCCCCUAUGUCCUCCGUUUCCCCGCUGUCCCCGUGUGUCCCCUGUGUCCCCACUGUCCCUGCUGUCCUCCAUGUCCCCCUGUCCCCUGUGUCCCCCAUGUCCCCAUGUGUCCCCGCUGUCCCCCAUGUCUCCAUGUGUCCCUGUUGUCCCCAUGUGUCCCCGCUGUCCCCGGUGUCCCCGUGUAUCCCUGCUGUCCCCGGUGUCAGCGGUGUCCCCGUGUGUCCCUGGUGUCCCCCCAGUGUCCCCGUGUGUCCCUGCUGUCCCCGUGUGUCCCCGCUGUCCCCGCUGUGUCCCUGCUGUCCCCCUGUGUCCCCACUGUCCCCGGUGUCAGCGGUGUCCCCCUGUGUCCCCGCUGUCCCCCCAGUGUCCCCUGUGUCCCUGGUGUCCCCCCGCUGUCCCCCUGUGUCCCCGCUGUCCCCCCGGUGUCCCCGGUGUCAGCGGUGUCCCCCUGUGUCCCCGCUGUCCCCCCGGUGUCCCCGGUGUCCCCCGGUGUCAGCGGUGUCCCCCUGUGUCCCCGCUGUCCCUGGUGUCAGCGGUGUCCCCCUGUGUCCCCGCUGUCCCCGUGUGUCCCCGCUGUCCCCCCGGUGUCCCCGGUGUCCCCGGUGUCAGCGGUGUCCCCGUGUGUCCCCAGGGGCCAGCAGUUUGCGCAGCAGAUGCAGCAGCAGAACCCCGAGCUCAUCGAGCAGCUCCGCAGCCAAAUCCGGAGCCGGACCCCGAGCGCCAGCAACGAGGAGCAGCAGGAAUGAGCCGCCCCCGGGAAUUCCGCUGGUUGCUUUUCCAACGGGAAGCCUCGUGCGUGUUGCCAUUUCUUGAGUUGGAAGUGUCCAAGAAGGGGGGAAAAAAAGAAACAGAAUGGAAAAAAAACACAAAAAAAAACCCAAAACCCAAAACAAUUCCCAAAUCCUUUCCGUGCCCUGCAUGUCACCGACAGAUUCCCGAUUUUCCAGCCCUGCUCCUCCCGUUUUUUCCACCUUUCCCAGGUUUUUUUGUUGGGAUUUUUGUGGUUUUCUCCUGGAAGCCCCAGCAGAGCCGAGCACAGAACUUUCCCCCAGCUCUGCCAGGACUCUGCUCUGAAAUUCCCACGGGAUUUUUCCCCCGGGGAAUUUUUUAUUCCCAGAUUUUUUGGGGUUUUUUUUGGAGGAUUUCACAGGAAUCCUUCUGGGGUUUUUUUUUCUUUUUUCCUCAAUAUUCCCCCCUGGGGAAGGGCCACUUCCAAGAAGUGUUGGAGUCCCCCCCCCCCCCUCAUUCCCUUACCCUGCCCAACCUCUCUGGAAAUCCCGGGAUUUUCUACCCUCUGGGAAUGGGGAUUUUUGGUCCUUCAGCUGCCAUCCAGCUCUGGGAUUCCCGGGAAUUUCGGUGCUUCCCUUCUCCGAGGUCAGCACAGGGGUGGGGAGGAGCUGGGACUGCACCCUCCCCACGCACCCCGAGGCGUUUUUGGGGUUUUUCCUUCCCAGAAAAUCCCGGGACAAACCCCCUGAGCUCUGGAAAAGUGGGAAUUUUUUUCCCAUGGAAGGCGAGCAGCGAGGAGGGAGCGAAGGUGUUUUUAGUGUGUUUAAAAGGAGUUUUUUCCUUGGUAUUAUUAUUAAUUAUUAUUAUUAUUAAUUAUUAAUUUUUUUUUUUUUUUUAAAUCUUCCGUGCAUGUCAGUGCUCAGCCUGGCUGGGGGAGGGGGUGGAGGAUGCCAGGAUGGAGCAGAGGGAAUGCAAAAUUCCCCUUUGGAUCCGGCGGAUUCGGGGAGGGAAAAACUCCUGGAGCCGCCUCAAAUCCCAGCUCAGCUCCUGCGUGAGACCAGAGGCUUUUUUUUGGUUUCUUUUUGGUUUUUUGGGGUGCCUCCAACCUGAUUUUAAAGCUGAUUUUUGGCUGGGGGGGGGAGGGGAGGAGGAGGAGCCCCACUGGAGUGAGCAGGAACUUUUGGGAGAUUGGAGAAAAAAAAAGGAAAAAAAAAAAAAAUCAUGGAAAAAGAGAGAACAAAAGUGAUUUUUUUUUUUUUUCUAAAAUUUCUUUUUUUGUAAACGCUCCAUGGAAUAAACGUGGUUCAUGUCACUCGUGAGGAAUAAAACAUUUGGACACUUUCGUUGGUAUCCCUUCGUGCUCGGGUGAUUUUCCAGAGGUUUCCGUGGGCUCAGGGCACUUUUUAUCCCCCUUUUUCCCGGUUUUUUUUCGGCUUUCCCUGCGGGAAUUCUCCUCCUGUGCCUUCCUCCAGCGCAGAAAGAGGAAAACUUUUCCUUUUCCCCACCAUUUCUGCUUCCCUAUAUUCCCUUUAAGUUCUCUCCAGCUGUUUUUAUGGAGCCUCACAAAAGGAAUUUGGAGCUGGAGCACAGCACGGGAAGAAAAUAUUCGGGAAUUAUCCAAAAGGACCAAACCCAUGGAUGCAUUUCCCUCUGUUUUCAACUCG